rnacentral:lncRNA from 1 species
CAUAAUCGCACAUCACAAUUUGCACUAAAAAAAAUUGUGGAGACAACAAUGUUUAUCAAUUCAAGACAAGUCAGAUAUAAUAUGCCAUAAAUCAAGACAACUCAGUAGACAAUCAUAACUCAUAUGUUAAGAGACUUUUCUUUCUAGGUUUUAGUUAAUUAUGCCAAGGAAAAGGAUUGUAUGAAACAGUUACAUCACAUCAGCAUAUAUCUCUUUCAUUUAAAUCAUACCACACAAUCACAUUAUUAGAAAAUAUUAAUUAUUUAUUAUAAAAUAAUUAAUUAAUCUAUUGAAAUAAAUAUUCUCCAUUUAAUUAUCACAUAUGUGAUGUGUAAUAAUUGAUUGAUUUUUUUCAAUAAUGUGAAUACGUGGCAUGAUUGGAAUGGAAAGAAUAUGACCUGGCAUAACUGUUUCGUACAAGCCUUGCUCAAUUGACAAAUAAUGGGAAUUCAUGCAUCAAGUAAUCCAGUUUUAAAAGAAUCAGAGAUUUGACAAAAUUCCAAAUACACAUGCUGAUAAGAAAAUGACUUACACCAGGAAAAUCAGAACGGCAUUGGGAGUCCAAGGUUAGCCAACUGAUGGCAAUGUGGAUAGUUCCUAAUGACAGAACCGUCCAGCCAGGCUUCACAAAUUGCCCUUGGGCACGACCGACCAGUAACUACCCUGUGAAGAAAGAGUGCCCAACAACACCAAAAGGGUUAUUUUCAUAGAAUUAAACCAAACAUCCAAAUAAAUUGAAUGGAGAAUCAUAAAUAACCU